GAUGAACGCUAGCGGGAGGCCUAACACAUGCAAGCCGAGCGGUAUUGUUUCUUCGGAAAUGAGAGAGCGGCGUACGGGUGCGGAACACGUGUGCAACCUGCCUUUAUCUGGGGGAUAGCCUUUCGAAAGGAAGAUUAAUACUCCAUAAUAUAUUGAACGGCAUCGUUUAAUAUUGAAAGCUCCGGCGGAUAGAGAUGGGCACGCGCAAGAUUAGCUAGUUGGUGAGGUAACGGCUCACCAAGGCGAUGAUCUUUAGGGGGCCUGAGAGGGUGAUCCCCCACACUGGUACUGAGACACGGACCAGACUCCUACGGGAGGCAGCAGUGAGGAAUAUUGGUCAAUGGGUGCAAGCCUGAACCAGCCAUCCCGCGUGAAGGACGACUGCCCUAUGGGUUGUAAACUUCUUUUGUAUAGGGAUAAACCUACCCUCGUGAGGGUAGCUGAAGGUACUAUACGAAUAAGCACCGGCUAACUCCGUGCCAGCAGCCGCGGUAAUACGGAGGGUGCAAGCGUUAUCCGGAUUUAUUGGGUUUAAAGGGUCCGUAGGCGGACUUAUAAGUCAGUGGUGAAAGCCUGUCGCUUAACGAUAGAACUGCCAUUGAUGCUGUAAGUCUUGAGUAUAUUUGAGGUAGCUGGAAUAAGUAGUGUAGCGGUGAAAUGCAUAGAUAUUACUUAGAACACCAAUUGCGAAGGCAGGUUACCAAGAUAUAACUGACGCUGAGGGACGAAAGCGUGGGGAGCGAACAGGAUUAGAUACCCUGGUAGUCCACGCCGUAAACGAUGCUAACUCGUUUUUGGGCUUUAGGGUUCAGAGACCAAGCGAAAGUGAUAAGUUAGCCACCUGGGGAGUACGCUCGCAAGAGUGGAACUCAAAGGAAUUGACGGGGGCCCGCACAAGCGGUGGAUUAUGUGGUUUAAUUCGAUGAUACGCGAGGAACCUUACCAAGACUUAAAUGGGAAUUGACAGUUUUAGAAAUAGAACUUUCUUCGGACAAUUUUCAAGGUGCUGCAUGGUUGUCGUCAGCUCGUGCCGUGAGGUGUUAGGUUAAGUCCUGCAACGAGCGCAACCCCUGUCACUAGUUGCCAUCAUUCAGUUGGGGACUCUAGUGAGACUGCCUACGCAAGUAGAGAGGAAGGUGGGGAUGACGUCAAAUCAUCACGGCCCUUACGUCUUGGGCCACACACGUAAUACAAUGGCCGGUACAGAGGGCAGCUACACAGCGAUGUGAUGCAAAUCUCGAAAGCCGGUCUCAGUUCGGAUUGGAGUCUGCAACUCGACUCUAUGAAGCUGGAAUCGCUAGUAAUCGCGCAUCAGCCAUGGCGCGGUGAAUACGUUCCCGGGCCU
rnacentral:rRNA from 1 species